CGCAUAUCGCUGCCGGUUUCCGCCGUCUCUCUCUUUCCACCCAGUUUAGGCUUGCUCGUGGCACCAUUUCUUGAGGAUUUGAUAAACACACCGGAGCAACAAUGGUGAAGAUUUUCAUCGGGAACGUCGCCCAGGAUGCCACCAAGGAUGAAAUCGAAGCCCUAUUUACGAAGUACGGCACCGUAACCGAAUGUGCCAAGUACAAAAACUAUGCCUUUGUCCACAUGGAAGAUCGCAAAUGCGCCACCAAAGCGAUGCGUGAGCUCCAUCUCCAUCGGCUGCACAGCAGACCCAUCAACGUGGAGCUGAGCAGGUCCAAGGACCAGGGUCCAGUCAAACUCCAUAUCGCUAAUGUGGAGAAGGGCUUCGACAAGGAGCUUCGGGAGCUGUUUGAAGAAUAUGGAACAGUCGGAGAAUGCGCCAUCGUCAAGAACUUCGCCUUUGUGCACAUGAAUAAUUCCGAAGAGGCCAUGGAUGCCAUUAAGGGUCUGGACAACACAGAGUUUCAAGGAAAACGCAUACAUGUUCAGAUAUCAAAAAGCAGACCCAGAGGGUUCCCUGAGGAGGAGGAAGAAGAGUAUCCCCCUCCUCCCGUCAGAGGAUAUUAUCCUGCACACUUGGGAGGCGAGAGGCCACCGCCACCCCCUUACGCAGGCCGCAUGUCUGCUUUCCCUCCUCCACCUCCACCGCCCCCUGUUCCGAGACGACCUGGUUAUUUAGAGCGUAGUUAUGGUGGUCCAGAUGGCUACGUGUUUGACUACUAUGAGAGAUACAGAGCUCAUCCUUAUGCUGCUUCUGCCUAUGAUGAUAGACGUGCCAGCGCCGUCCCACCUCCUCCACCUCCUCCCUCAGCAGUUGCCCGAGAACGCCUCCCAGUGUCAGCCAUUGAUCCAUACGAGCGUCGUGCGCUUCCCCCUCCUCCAGCAUAUGCAUCAAGGGACCGGAGUCCCCUCAGAAGGCCGACCUCUGCUGCUGCAGCUGGUAACGGGUACGCUUAUGAGCGUGCCCGGCUUUCCCCGGUGGCCCGUGUUCCAAUGUAUCCACCUCCCCGCCCCAGGGAUCCCUACGCAGAAAGGCCAGCGCUGCCACCUCCUGCACCCCGCUACGCAGGCUAUUAACCACUGAAGGUUUGUUAGAUCCAUGAUUCUACACAGGUGUGGACACUGCAAGGUGGCCGAUCACGGCUGUCUGCUGAGCAGCUGGCUGUCAAAUGUUGUGAUGGCCUUAAAAAUUCAAGGAAAUACUUCAUGAAUGAGAUUGUUUGCUCUGGAGUCCAAAAUGGGCAUCAGGUUGUGUUCUCUAAUAUUUCAUAAGGAGCAUCGUCAUCAAAAGGAAAUGGAUUUGGUCCUUCUGCCUGAAGUUGUGUGCUCUGGAUGGUGUGGAUCUUCAGGAAAAGCCCAAUGAUGUGCCAUUUAAGCUUUUUAUUUAUUUUUAAUCUGCUUCAUGGAAUUUUACUUUUUGAUGAUUUUAUAUAUGGAAAUCCAGACGUCUAUAAUUUGACACAUCUGUUGAAAACUGUUACAACCCCUGGCAAAAAUUAUGGAAUCACCGGCCUCGGAGGAUGUUCAUUCAGUUUAAUUUUGUAGAAAAAAAGCAGAUCACAGACAUGACACAAAACUAAAGUCAUUUCAAA